rnacentral:rRNA from 1 species
UACGGAGGAUCCAAGCGUUAUCCGGAUUUAUUGGGUUUAAAGGGUGCGUAGGCGGCCCGUUAAGUCAGGGGUGAAAGACGGUAGCUCAACUAUCGCAGUGCCUUUGAUACUGACGGGCUUGAAUGAACUAGAGGUAGGCGGAAUGAGACAAGUAGCGGUGAAAUGCAUAGAUAUGUCUCAGAACACCGAUUGCGAAGGCAGCUUACUAUGGUUUAAUUGACGCUGAGGCACGAAAGCGUGGGGAUCAAACAGG